AUGCCCGGCCUGCUCCUCGGGCUCGCCAGCUCCUCCUUCCCACUCUCUGCCAGGCCGCUAGCCGGACUCGGGACCCCUCCUCGCGCCGACCACCCCCGACCGUCCGCGGGCCCCCCCAACUACGGCCGGACUACAACUCCCACCAGCGACGGCGCGGUCUCUUCCGGGUCCCGAGGCGGAAGUCCCACCUGCGGCCCCGGCUCUGUUCGGCCUGGCUCUCUGUGCGGGCUGCCGCUGCCUUGGGGCUCGCGAUGGGUUCGGCUGCCUAGGUUGUCUCUAGUGUUCCUCAGCCCACAGCGCGAGACAGUCAGUCUGCGCCUGCACCCGGGCACUGGCUGGAGGGAGCGCGGCUGUAGCCCCAGACACAGGCGGGACUUCCGGCGGAGCGGCCGGGGACGCGCGUGGCCUGUGCCGUGGGAGCCGGCGAGAGCCGGCGGGAGCUGGGGACGGGUGACCAUCUCAGGCUCAUCUCUCCAUCCCCAGCCGCAGCUCUGUGUCCGUCGCGCCUUUUCUCUCCUGCGUCUCCCCUUGGUCUUCUGCACUUUUAGGGAGGUGAGCGAUUUUGCCUCACAGAGACAUAAACCAGGCAAAGGACAGGGUAGCGCUUGCUGCUGGCUUCGGGGGGUUGUGGUGAGGGACGACUGCGAGUCUAGGCCACAUCGACACUCAGGAGCGAGGGGAGGGGGUUUGCCUGUUUGUCCUCUGAACAGAGUGAAGCAUGGGUUCAAUGAAAUCCGCCGUCGAUAAAGGAAACUCAGUGGCGUUGGGCAGUAGUUCACAGCUGGGAAGACAAUAUUUGAGGAUGUGCCCUUUCGUGAUAUUUGGAGAACUAAUACAAUAGCUCGUAAUUUAAAACAGACGAAGAAAAUUCUAUGUGCAUGUGUGUGGUACCAAGUGACAUGGCAUCAGAUCCUUGGAAGCUGGAGUUACAGGCUGUUGUCGGCCAGCUGUUAUCUUAGGUUUUUUAUUGCUGAGGUAAAAAUACCACUUCUCACCUUAUAGGUGACAACCUGCCACUGAGUAAUGUCAUAUCAGGAAUGGAAACAAAAGACAUGGAGGAACCCUUGCUUACUGCCUCAUGGCUGAUACAACAGCCCCAGAAUUUACUAUCUCCCCAGGGGAGGCACCCUCCCAAAACCUCCACCCUGCCUAAAAGCCAGAUUGGUGGGGGCAGUUUCUCAAUUGUGGUUCUCUCUACCCAAAUGACUAUAGCUUGUGUCAAAUCAACCAAAACACACACAACAACAAAACUACUAAUCAGGCAAGUGUUCAUAACCACUGAACCAUAUCUCCAGUCCGUUUUCCUAUGCUAUUUUUUGUGCAGCCAUUUAAAUGUAUUGUUAGCUGUGUGCCACAGCACAGGUGACUUCAGCUGGUCCGAAGCUGGAGCAAGACAACUGGGAAUUAGAAGCCAACCAGGAUUGCAUAGCAAGAAAUGCUUCUAAACCUAGCAUUCUGGAGACAGAGACAUGCAGAUCUCUGAUCUGAAGAGUUCCAGGCCAGUCAGCGCAACAUAGACCCUGUUUCAAAUGAAGACGGAAAGAAAAGGAAGGAAGGAAAGUAUACUAGUUGCUAUUUUCCUGCUAGAUUGCACAGAAGGCUAGGAGAAAUGAAGGAGGUGAAACAAAGAAUUGCUUCUUGAAAACAAAACAUAGAAAUCCCUGCAGUGCCCAACAUGUUUGGUACAUACUUGGAAUCCCUAUAGAAACAGGAUCUUCAAGGCAAGCUUCAUAUAGACCAGUUUGAGUUAUCCAAGACUGGAUCUCGAACAGGCAAACAAAUCCUUGUGCUGGUAAUUUGAGAGACUGCUAUUUAUAGGCAGGUAUGUAGACAAUAUGACCCUAGCCUCAGGAAGCCUAGUAUCCUAGUAGAAAAGAGGAAAAGGGGGAGCCAAAGGAAAGAGAUAAAUACUAGAAAGGUGUGACGUGCUAGGGACACAAGAGAAGGCUUGCCCACUGCUGAGUGCUAAGAGUGUUGGUCGAGAAGUAUGUCCUGAGACUACAAUGGCUCACUAUGGCCAACAGAUUAAAUAAAUGUGUAGGCUUUUACAGAAAAUAGAUCAAAGUUUCUGAGUGUAGUACUGUGUGGAUUAACCCCCAUUUGCUACAAGUCUGAAGCCAGCCUGGGCUCCAUUGAAAGACUGUCCCCACAAUGAAGUAGAAAGUGGGUGCUGGAGAGAUGGUUCAGCACUUAAGAGCACUUGCUCUUCUAGAAGACCCAAGUUCAAUUCCUAGCAUCCACAUUGAAGCUAACAGCCCUCUGCAGCUCCAGUUCCAAGGAAACUAAUUGUUCCUCUAUCAGUACUGCCUAGACAUAGACAUAGUCAGACAAAUAUUUAUACACAGAAAAAUAUAUAAAUAUAUUAAAGUGGACCAGCAAGGCAAUCACCAGAGCCCACAUAGUAGAAGGAAAGAACCAAAUUGGGGUGGGGGGGCUGGAGAGAUGGUUCAGUGGAUAAGAGCACCAUACGGCUCUUCCAGAGGUCCUGAGUUCAAUUUCCAGCAACCACAUAGUGACUCACUAUCAGCUCUAAUGGGAUCUUAUGCCCUUUCCUGAUAUGUCUGAAGAAAGCUACAGUGUACUCAUAUAAAUACAAAUAAAUAAAUGUUUUUUUUUUAAAAAACCAAAUUGGGAAAAUUGUCCUUUGAUCUCCAUAUACAUGAUGUUGUGCUGUGGGGGCCCCACCCACUCACACAUCAGGGCUUCUCUGUAUAACAGCCUUUGCUGGCCUGAAACUCCCUUUCUACACUAGGCUGGCCUUGAACUCAGAGAUAUGCCUACCAGUGCCUCCAUAGUGCUAGGAUGAAAGCCCUGUGCCACUACUACCAGCAAUAACUAUGAUAUUUAA